GGCCUACGGGGGGCAGCAGUAGGGAAUAUUGCGCAAUGGAGGAAACUCUGACGCAGUGACGCCGCGUAUAGGAAGAAGGUCUUCGGAUUGUAAACUAUUGUCGUUAGGGAAGAGAAAGGACAGUACCUAAGGAGGAAGCUCCGGCUAACUACGUGCCAGCAGCCGCGGUAAUACGUAGGGAGCGAGCGUUAUCCGGAUUUAUUGGGUGUAAAGGGUGCGUAGACGGGAUAACAAGUUGGUUGUGAAACCCCUCGGCUCAACUGAGGAACUGCAACCAAAACUAUUAUUCUUGAGUGCAGGAGAGG
rnacentral:rRNA from 1 species